rnacentral:rRNA from 1 species
GUGCCAGCAGCCGCGGUAAUACCGGCAGUCCGAUUGAUGGCCGAUCUUAUUGGGCCUAAAGCGUCCGUAGCUGGCUGAACAAGUCCGUUGGGAAAUCUGUCCGCUUAACGGGCAGGCGUCCAGCGGAAACUGUUCAGCUUGGGACCGGAAGACCUGAGGGGUACGCCUGGGGUAGGAUUGAAAUCCUGUAACCCUGGACGGACCGCCGGUGGCGAAAGCGCCUCAGGAGAACGUAUCCGACAGUGGGGGACGAAAGCUAGGGUCUCGAAACGG